GUGGGGAAUCUUCCGCAAUGGACGAAAGUCUGACGGAGCAACGCCGCGUGAGUGAUGAAGGUCUUCGGAUUGUAAAGCUCUGUUAAUCGGGACGAAAGAGCCUAAUGUGAAUAAUGCUAGGAAGUGACGGUACCGGAAUAGAAAGCCACGGCUAACUACGUGCCAGCAGCCGCGGUAAUACGUAGGUGGCAAGCGUUGUCCGGAAUUAUUGGGCGUAAAGCGCGCGCAGGCGGAUCUGCCAGUCUGUCUUAAAAGUUCGGGGCUUAACCCCGUGAUUGGAUGGAAACUACAGAUCUAGAGUAUCGGAGAGGAAAGUGGAAUUCCUAGUGUAGCGGUGAAAUGCGUAGAUAUUAGGAAGAACACCAGUGGCGAAGGCGACUUUCUGGACGAAAACUGACGCUGAGGCGCGAAAGCCAGGGGAGCGAACGGGAUUAGAAACCCUGGUAGUCC
rnacentral:rRNA from 1 species